UACGUAGGGGGCAAGCGUUGUCCGGAAUCAUUGGGCGUAAAGAGCGUGUAGGCGGCUUGGCAAGUCUGACGUGAAAGCCCACGGCUCAACCAUGGAAGUGCAUCCGAAACUGCUGAGCUUGAGUACUUAAGAGGAUCGCGGAAUUCCCGGUGUAGAGGUGAAAUUCGUAGAUAUCGGGAGGAACACCAGUGGCGAAGGCGGCGAUCUGGGAAGAUACUGACGCUGAGGUGCGAAAGCGUGGGGAGCAAACAGG
rnacentral:rRNA from 1 species